GAUGUGGAGGCCUUGAAUGCCACGCUCUUCUUCUUCUCAUCAUCCCUCUUUUCACCUUCCUUCUUCCUUUUCUUGACCAACUCAUCCUUCUCAUCAUCUUCUCUAUAAGCAUCAUCGGUCAUUACUUCUUGGAACACUUGUUGGGGAGUUGAUUCACUAAGUGUUGUCUUGACUAGCACGGUGAUCAAUGUGUUAAAUCUCUUGGGCAAACUUCUCAAGAAUUUCAUAGAGAAUUGACUAUCUUUCACUUCUUCCCCAAGUGCCUUGAGCUCAUUCACAAUGACUUGCAACCGGUGAAAC
rnacentral:lncRNA from 1 species